rnacentral:rRNA from 2 species
UAACGAGGAUUCCCCUAGUAACUGCGAGUGAAGCGGGAAGAGCUCAAAUUUGUAAUCUGGCGGUCUCUGGCCGUCCGAGUUGUAAUCUGUAGAGGCGUCGUCCGCGUCGGCCCGUGUAUAAGUCUCCUGGAACGGAGCGUCAUAGAGGGUGAGAAUCCCGUCCAUGACAUGGACCACCGAUGCUUUGUGAGGCGCCCUCGAAGAGUCGCGUUGUUUGGGAAUGCAGCGCAAAAUGGGUGGUAGAUUCCAUCUAAGGCUAAAUAUUGGCGAGAGACCGAUAGCGAACAAGUACCGUGAGGGAAAGAUGAAAAGCACUUUGAAAAGAGAGUUAAACAGUACGUGAAAUUGUUGAAAGGGAAACGCUUGAAGUCAGUCGCGUUCUGAGGCACUCAGCCUUGCUUCGGCUUGGUGUACUUGCCUUAGGACGGGUCAACGUCAAUUUUGGCUGGCGGAUAAGGGUGAGGGGAAUGUAGCGCCAUUUCGGUGGCGUGUUAUAGCCUCUUAUCGAAUGCGUCAGCUGGGAUUGAGGACUGCAGCACGCCCUUGUGGUCGGAGGGGUUCACCCCCCUCAUGUAACGUGCUUAGGAUGUUGGCAUAAUGGCUUUAAGCGACCCGUCUUGAAACACGGACCAAGGAGUCUAACAUGCUUGCGAGUGUUUGGGUGGAAAACCCUUGCGCGUAAUGAAAGUGAAAGUUGGGAGCCCUCUGUGAAGGGGGGUGCACCGACGCCCGGCCCUGACGUUCUCUGASGGUGCUGCGGUAGAGCAAGCAUGUUGGGACCCGAAAGAUGGUGAACUAUGCCUGAAUAGGGCGAAGCCAGAGGAAACUCUGGUGGAGGCUCGUAGCGAUUCUGACGUGCAAAUCGAUCGUCGAAUUUGGG